UGCUCAUGGUCACAAGGGUGUUUUGUUUUUGUCCUUCUGCAAAGCAGGCUGUGAUCUGAACUUGUCACCACUGAAACUGAGGAGAGGAUUCCCUUACACAUGGAUUCACUGAAGGUGUAAGGUGCUCAGCUGAGUUAAAAGAACUCAGGCCGUCAGAUGGGCUUGUGCAGAGAGGACCCAAGCAUGGAAGAGCUUCAUAAACAAGACCUCGCUGCCCUUGGACUUCUACUUCUGUUGAUGUUACUGGCCACACACUCCCAGCCUGGAUGGGUAUACUCAAAGCCUGCCAAGGAUGGGCAGCUUUAGAAGGGAAGCUGAGAUAAGUUUUCUGUCUUUACUGAAAUGUGAAGACGUCCAGCCCAGAUAAGAUUUGCCUCUGUGUGGUCUAAUUGGUGUAGCCCCAGAACCUCAUGAGCAAGUAAUCUAAAUCUCGUUCAUUUAAACAAUGUGGAUAUAUAUCAUCUCAAUGACCAGUGAGUGUCAACUUCCUCCAUCCUUAUUCUGGUUCACUAUAUAAGAAACUUGCAUUUGGGAAAUGUGGAACAGAGUAACUGUUUCUGUGGUCCACCUCUGACUUCUCCCAGAUGAUCUAUCCAAUUAGAGUAUUUCACUCGACUGUAAAUUUUCAGCAAAUAAAGAUUUAAAAUUUAAACUUAAGUAUCUAAUUGGACUCAGAUAUGCCAAGGGUAGGCAAUCUGCUUUUAGUUACUUGAUUUAAAAGAUUGUUUUGAAAUGUAUUUUAUUUUUAAACUAAUAUUUAUGGAUAGAUUAUCCUUUAACAUUACUCCCUCUUUCAAAGCUUCUAGAAGAUGCAGACAUUUCCCCCUCCUGGACCAUGAGGGGUGGUGGGUUCAAAAAUUUUCACUUCUUUCACAACAUUACAAGAGUAUCAUUGGCUACACGCCUUCUCCUUAGUCACUUAAGCAUGACUGGAGCCUUUUACAGAGCAUGAAGGAAAACUGAGACCUUCCUCAGCUCUCCAUAGUCUUAUUAAUAUUUGCAAAAAUGCAUGUGGAGAAGUUGCUUGAUAAGCAAAGGAAGAAGCAGACCACUGGGUGCCAAGACAAUAGAGUUGCCUUCCUGCCAGCACGAGUUCUCAGGAACGUGGAUUUGGGCGUGCUCAUCAAUUGGAGAGCUAUUUCUUUUGAUUCUCUACCCCAUUCUCUCUGUAGGAAUCCAGGGUUCACAACGUGACCAUCCUGGCACCCGCUUCUCCUUUGCCUAAGGUGCCUCACCCAGCUCUGCGUGCACAACGCGCCCUCAGCUUCACCUAAGUCUUGAAAGACUUUUCGGGUUAUGACAUUCCCCUAAAUGUGCUGAGCUUUCCUUAACCUUUCAUAAAACAUUGUGAUCUUUAUGGACUGUAUCAUAUUGUGCAGUAAUGUGCUUUAUUGUGCACAGAAUAAGCUUUUCUUAAAGAUAAUUGGAAAGCUGGAAAUGGCUGCUAUCGGCCGAUUUUUAAAAAAAAUACAUUAUUUCUGAAAUAGGGCUGGUGUAAUAAUGACCCUAUCUGUUCAAGAUUUAAGAUUUGUCUUGGCAGAGAAAAUUGAUCCAUUUCACCUUUGUCUAAUGGAAAUUUUUAUCUAGGAUUAUCUGUUUAUGUAAAUGAAUGUCCCUGUGAAGAGGGAACUUGAGGAGGCUGUAAAUCUUGGUGACACCUCAGUUUCAUAGGGGAGAAAUUGGAAAGGAUUCUAGUAUUUAUCUGCCCGAAAUUGGUUAUAAAAACAAAAUUAUCUUCGUGUACCUGCAGCAUCUGAUGUUUUCUGAAAUUUCAUUAUAUUUCUGAAUAAUUCAGGGAGCCGUGGGAAUAGUGUUUUGACAUGACCUCAAUCGCAAAUUGUUUUUACUUUUAAAAUUUUAUAGUCACCUGCUAAUGUGCUUCCUUUCCUGCCUCUUUAAGGGUGAGAGUGUUUUCUACACCGUUGUAGGAGUCUUCAGCCACGAUAGGCUCAUUAUCUGUGGGUAAAUGAAGUGACUGUAUUAGCAGAAUAUCUACCAAUUUUCUCUCUAAAAAUAUCACAGCUACUAUACAUUCUAUCUGUGGGACAAAAUCCUGGGGGUCUGAAUCAUAAUUGCUGUACAUUUAAACAAUGUCUUUUCAUGGCGACUGUUGGGCCACACUGACUUGCUCUCAUAUGGUAGUGGAAGUUGCCAUGUAACAACUUUACAAAGGUAACAGCAUGUGACACAUUCUUUCUCUUCAAGUCAAAGAGAAAAACAAAGAAAGGCCUAAAAGAAAUAUUGACUCAUGUUACUUCUUGCUUCCUUCUUUGAAAAUAUAUGUGUAGUUUCUUUCUAGGGACUGCUAACUUCAUUAUCCAAUGCCUGGUGGUGGUCCACUGUCUUUGUUCCUUUAGCAGCCAUUGUCUCUGAGUCCCCCCCAUUUACAUAAUAUCUGAACUAUUUCAUCAGGACUCAAAUAAACAGUAUUAUGUUGCAUUGAAGCUGAUGUAAAUAUAAUAUUUAAUGGUGGGACACAGGGACUGAAAAUUGUCCAGAACUUGGAGUUUUCUUUCCUGCCUUUUUAAGGAUGAUAUUCUUUCCCAAUAAGCGGUGUGGAGUGAGCAGCCAGAAGUGGUGUUGGCUGUCGGGAUUAUCAACUAUACCAUCGUUAUGCCUGCAGACAUGUGUUUUGUUGCUAUCAGUAGGUUCAACAAAAUUGACAAAACUAAAAAAUAAAUGCUAUUUUGGAAACUC
ensembl:lincRNA Gm43146 predicted gene 43146